UUAACAUGACAUAGCAUAGUCUAUGUCCAUAAGAUACCAAGAUAAGAAAAGUCCCAUUGUUCUGGAGAGUGUUUGGUCCCAGACAUCUUGGGCUCAGUGAUAACACACAGAAAGAAUGUUGGUCAGUUCUAUCUGGUCCUGGAAAGGGGUGUUUUUGGUUCACUUGAAAAAAAAAAAAGAAUUAGCUCAGGUUUUUGGCCCUUAUUGGGGUUCAAUUGAUUAUACUUACCUCAAGAUGUUCCCAUUGUUUAAAGGAAUUAUGAGUAAACUUUGUUGUAUUGUUUGUUUGAACCUAGUCCUGUGUGACUGGGAAAACUGAACUAUCUCUAUGUGCCUUUAACUAAAGACUUAUGAGGGAUUCUGGAAUACUUAGGAAUUCAGUUUCCUUAAUACUACUCUGGAAUUUGUGUUAUUUAAGAACUUUUGUACCAAUUUAGUGAGGUUUUAUGAACAAGAGUAGAAAUGCAUGCAAGCAUUUUAGGGCUCAUUUUGGAAAUGUUACUUAGGCAAUGUGACAUCUUAGGGUACUAUAGAACUGGGACUUGUGUUCUGUGUGUGUUCCUAUAUGAGUUAAGUUUCUUUACAAUUCAGGGGUUUGUGAGAAUGUUAUUUUGUUAUUUGGGUAAUAUCAUACUUGUUUAAAGUUGUGUUACAAUUAAUAAUGUUAAAAGGGAAAUGGCUUGUGGUUUAUCUUGUCCAUGUCAUCAGAGAAACAUGGCAUGACUGAAACAUUUAAGAUCCUAUAUGCACUGUGUUAAAAUGGAUUAUUUCAUAUAUCUAUGUAUGUAUUGGGGCCUGUGGAUUAAUGUAAGGUAUGCAUAUUGUUGUUUGCUCUUGUUUACUAUUUAGUGGGGGGUUGGCAGUAUGGGUCCAGCUCUUAUGGCAGUCCUCUUCCUUGGAUGAUUCCUUUGCCAAAAACUAAAAGGGGGGAGUAGGAACUCAGGGCGAAUGGCACUAAUUCUUCCUUAACCAAGUUCCUGCAGGGACUCCAGAAAGAAAACACAGAGGACUCUUCUAAAAUCUGUCCAGGACACCUACCAGUCUCUACCUGUCAGCCUGUACCCGCUUUCAGCCCAGGAGACCCAGUCUUGGUCAAGAAGUACACUGCCUCUGGCCUGGAACCUAAGUGGAAAGGUCCCCACACCGUGAUCCUGACCACUCCAACAGCCAUAAAGGUGGACUCUAUCCCUGUCUGGCUUCAUCAUUCACGAGUAAAGGCAGCCACU
rnacentral:lncRNA from 1 species